rnacentral:tRNA from 1 species
GGUUUUGCUACAGUUGGUACUGUGAUAGAUCUGCAAAGUCUUAUUAUUUAGGUUCAAUUCCUAACAAAAUCU